rnacentral:lncRNA from 1 species
UUAGAAUUCCUGCAAACACGGGUUAGUUAUUUUACAUGAAGCAUGUACGUGACUCCUGGUUUCUGAGAAAACAUUUUUUUCUCUCUAUCCUACAGUGCUAGGCAAAGCACCCCAAAGCCUCUUGAUUUUAAACACAGAAAACUCCACUGCCGAAAUGUUUGCCCUAUCCCAGCGCUAAAGCCUUAGAAGCACCGACGAAUCUAGGCCAAGGAGUACAAGAUGGCAGUGAGAUACCACAAUGCAGGCAAGGAAGACGGGAUGGGCCCCAAUCGGGAAGCACGCGCCACCAGCUCUGGAGAGAACCGUCUGAGGAGACGCGGGGGAGAGUUUGGGUCACAGGAGCAGGAAGGAACUGGCAGGUGUCUGUCACCUUAUCAUCCCGGACACCAUGUUUACAUUGUAAUUGGCUUCUUUACAGAGAGGGAGGGACCAGGUUCCCAGUGUGAGUGAUGUUUAGAGGUUUUCUGAGAAGCACAAGGACUGGACUUUGACAGGAAGCAACGAGGCAAGAGGGAAGCUCGAGAACAGGUUUUGCUGAGGAUUCCCCCCAAGAAAAGUGCUCCCCGGGAGGCCGUUCCUGGCACCAAGACUGGCGGAGCCACCACACCCGUUAAAGGGAUCCACCUGGACAGCGAUCAGGCAAGCACCUCCAAGGAUCACGUAGGACCAGCAGAAGCAGCGUAAAGUAUUGGAACUUUGAAUCUGACAUCAGAAAGACCUGCACUCAGCCGGGCACGGUGGCUCACGAUUGUAAUCCCAGGCCGAGGCGGUGGAUCACUUGAGCGAGCUGAAAUUUACCAUAAUCCGGCUGAUGUUUAGACUGCACCCAUCGUUUUUUCCAUUCAUCUAUGAGUAAAGGAGAAAAAAAGAACGUAAAGACAAAAUGCAGCUAAUACUGACCAAGACUUACAGGAACGGUAAAGAAGAAGGAACUGAGUCUCUAAGAUGGAGGAUAUACAACUGACAAGUAGUAAAGUCAAGAUACACAGCCAGGUCUGUCUGACUUCAGAGACCAAGUGCUUAAUCACUCUUUCAUUUUGUGAUGGUCUGAUAGAGCUGGAACAUAAGGUUCCUGGGAAGAUGGAGCAUCCAGAGAACAAGGCAGAGGGAGAUAAAGAGAAAAGGGGGAACAGGGCCGAAUUGGCCCAGGCCUUGAAUGCCAACUGGAGGAGUUUGGAUUUAGUUCCUCUGGGCCAGAGUUUUUCAAUAUCAGCACUAUUGACAUUUGGGGCCAGAUAAUUCUGUGUGUGGUGGUAGUGGGGUGGGGGUAGAGGGCUGUCCGCUGUAUUGUAGGAUGCUUAGCAGUGUCUCUGGCUUUGACUCAUCAGAUGUAAGUAGCACUCCCCAACCCCUGACAGUUGUGACAACUAAAAAUGUCUCCAGACAUUACCAAAUCUCUCCUGGUGUGUGUGUGUGUGUGCCCGCGCACACACAUAUGCUAAUUCGACAACUAGUUGGGAAUGGCUGCUCUAGGCACUAGUUGGGUGCAGUUUUAAAAGGAGUGUGACAUGGGCUGGGCACGGUGGCUCACGCCUGUAAUCCUAGCACUUUGGGAGGCUGAGGCAGGCA